UACGUGUCACAGGUUCCUUGCUGAG
rnacentral:miRNA from 1 species